rnacentral:rRNA from 1 species
UACAGAGGGUGCAAGCGUUGUUCGGAAUUAUUGGGCGUAAAGGGAGUGUAGGCGGCUCUUUAAGUCUUCUGUGAAAUCUACGGGCUUAACCUGUAACGUGCAGAGGAUACUGAGGAGCUUGAGUGUCGGAGAGGAUAGUGGAAUUCCCGGUGUAGAGGUGAAAUUCGUAGAGAUCGGGAGGAACACCAGUGGCGAAGGCGACUGUCUGGCUGACAACUGACGCUGAGACUCGAAAGCAUGGGGAGCAAACAGG